ACUAGAAGUGAAUUAAAAUUAUGUAUAAUAUUGUGUCAUAGUUGGUAUAGCUAUAGUACCUAGCUAUAGACUACUUAUAUGCACAUAUAAGUAUUACAAGAUUAUGUAACAAUAAUAAUAUUUUUCAAUAGGUAGUUUUUUUUCGUAUUAGGAAUCAAAAACAAAAUUAUAUUAUACAUCAACAAUAAACUUUGUGUUAGGCAGGUUCAUAGGUAUCUACGUAACACAAUUGCCUCUCAUAUCGUUUAUUUUCAAAAGUUUGCAGUUUCGAUUUUUGUACGUUACUUCUAAAUCGUACAAAAUUAAACUCAACAGUUGUUUAUCUGCAAUUACCAACUGAAAUCCAAUCUCCAGUGACUAUAUAAAUAGUUAUUUUAUGAAGCCAUCUCUGGCAUAAUGUCAUAAUAUAAUAGUGGGGAUGGCCAGAUGGGUAGAAAUCUAAAAAUCUUUAAAGUUUAAAAUUAUUAAUUUACAAAAAUUGAUUUAUGUACCUACUUUUAUACUAUGAAUUGGGUUUGUGCGAAGGUUGGCUGUCUACAUUAACACUGGAAUAAUUGGUAGGCACUGGUUGGGUACUUUAAAUAGUUGAUUCAUAAAAAUAGGUUCUUGUUGCCAUUGUUAUAUAUCACUAACCCAAUAGUCCGUUCGUAGAAAACAAUAUGGCUAUCAAAUACUUGUCUAGAGACAGGGUGAUGGAAACCUUUGAUUGUUAAUCAUGUAGUUGCUGAUGUUGCUGUACUUAAUAAUUUUCGAAAAUCGUGCGAAACUAUAAUAUAUGUAAAAGAAUUUAAAUUUUGGUGUAUUCAGAACCAUUAAAAAAAAACCACCUUUUUCACCAACCACUGGAAAUUAUAUCCUAAACUGACAAA